GUCCUUCCUUCCCCACAGGGCUGAUGGUGGCCGUGACGUUGGACGAGUCUGGGGGCGGCCUCCAAGCACCCGGAGGAGGGAUCAGCCUCGUCUGCAAGGCCUCCGGAUUCACCUUCAGCAGUUUUGGCAUGUACUGGGUGCGCCAGGCACCAGGCAAGGGGCUGGAAUACGUCGCAGGUAUUAACAGUGCUGGUAGUUACACAAACUACGGGACGGCGGUGAAGGGCCGUGCCACCAUCUCCAGGGACAACGGGCAGAGCACAGUGAGGCUGCAGCUGAACAACCUCAGGGCUGAGGACACCGCCACCUACUGCUGCGCGAAAAAUGCUGAUGGCUAUGACUGUGCUUCUGCUUGUUGGGGUGUUGCUGCUGGUGAUUUGGGCUGA